UGCCCAGCAACUCCUAUCCCUACCUUCACGUGGUACCGGCCGGAAACUAUGCGCAACCUUAGGGAAGAUCGGGUAACCAACCCCGGUGGGAACUUUGGUCGUAGGCUGACAGGGAAGG
rfam:Aedes albopictus isolate Foshan contig69672, whole genome shotgun sequence.